GUCGGCAUAGCUCAAAGGAAGAGCAACCGGCUGUUAACCGGUAGGUUGCAGGUUCGAGUCCUGCUGCCGACG
rnacentral:tRNA from 1 species